rnacentral:rRNA from 13 species
AGGCUUACUGAUCCUAACCAAACUCCGAAUACCCGUGAGUACUAGUCGGCAGACACACAGUGGAUGCUAACGUCCAUUGUGGAGAGGGAAACAACCCUGACCACCAAUUAAGGUCCCCAAAUAAUGGCUAAGUGUGAAAGGAUGUGGGAUUGCUUUGACAAUGAGGAGGUUGGCUUAGAAGCAGCCAUCCUUUAAAGAAAGCG